rnacentral:lncRNA from 1 species
CAAGAUAUUCUGUCAGGUUUAAUUGAUAAGUUAUUACUUUUUAAAAGGUUUUUAUUUAUUUGACAGAGAGAGCGCGCAAGUAUGCAGACUGGCAGGCAUAGGGAGAGGGAGCAGCAGGCUCUCUGCUGGCCAGAGAGCUGGGCAGGGAGCCCAACUCGGGCCUCAAUCCCAGGACCCUGGCAUCAUGACCUGAGAUCUCAUUUUGAAGGUCUCUCAUUGGAGAGAACUAACCUGGAGCCACACAGAAAAGGUACUUUCAGAAGGGGUUCCUGGCUUCUCCCGGCAAGCUUGGAUUGUGGCAUUGGCAGUGGCUGAGUUGACCGUAGAUAGUUCAUCGUGCAGAAGGAUAUACGUCCGCUUUUCAGGUAUGUAUUCCAUAAUGUUAAUUCAUAUUCCCAAUUAAACAAAUUUUAGAAAAUG